AGGUGGCGACCGGCGCACGGGUGAGUAACGCGUAUCCAACCUUCCCGUUAUUCUGGGAUAGCCUUCCGAAAGGGAGAUUAAUACCGGAUGGCAUUUGAAUUUCGCAUGUUUUUUUCAUUAAAGAUUUAUCGGUAAAGGAUGGGGAUGCGUUACAUUAGGUAGUAGGCGGGGUAACGGCCCACCUAGCCUACGAUGUAUAGGGGUUUUGAGAGGAAGGUCCCCCACACUGGAACUGAGACACGGUCCAGACUCCUACGGGAGGCAGCAGUGAGGAAUAUUGGUCAAUGGUCGCAAGCCUGAACCAGCCAAGUAGCGUGAAGGAUGAAUGUUCUAUGGGUUGUAAACUUCUUUUAUACGGGAAUAAACCCUCCUACGUGUAGGAGUUUGUAUGUACCGUAUGAAUAAGCAUCGGCUAACUCCGUGCCAGCAGCCGCGGUAAUACGGAGGAUGCGAGCGUUAUCCGGAUUUAUUGGGUUUAAAGGGAGCGUAGGCGGGAUGUUAAGUCAGUUGUGAAAUGCUGCAGCUCAACCGCAGCAGUGCAGUUGAUACUGGCAUUCCUUGAGUGCGGUUGAGGUAGGUGGAAUUUCGUUG
rnacentral:rRNA from 1 species